rnacentral:sRNA from 1 species
AUCGCUUCUCGGCCUUUUGGCUAAGAUCAAGUGUUUAAUUUCUGAUCUUAUUUUCUGUGUAUUUUAACAAUUUAUUAUACUAAAUUAAAGAUAAAGUUCUGGUGCACAUUGU